UCUCUCUUUCUCUGUCUGUCUCUCUCUCUCGGUCUCUGUCUCUCUGUCUCAGGCAGUGAGACACAGAGCAGCUAAUUGUGUGAAGGCCACACAGACAAUGUUUCUUCCUCUCAUUCCAGCUGCCUAGGCCCUACUGUACUCGCACACGCUGGGCUUCCUCCUCAUCGCUGAAAAGGGGCCUAGGACCAACACACACAGACCUGUGAUCCUGUUACACACCCGCUUUAAAUUCAACACAGACACAGAGAAGGAAGAAGUGGUUGUGGGGAGAGAAAGAGAAGGGAAAGAGAAACCAGCAGCCUUCCUGAGUGGAAUCAGUACCAGUGCCAACAAAAUUCUUUAAAAUGCCAAAUAGAUGCAUAGCAUUCAGUAUGCUCUAAAAUGUUCUAAUCUAGACUGACAUUCUGAGAGAGUGAGAGAGGGAAGCAUCCUCAGAGCAUCACAGGAUAGGACAGGACAAAGACAGGACAGAAUAGGAUAAUGACAGGUUAGGAUAGGACAUGAUGGGACAAGGGAAGGAUAGGACAGGGUAGGAUAGGACAGGACAGGACAGAAUAGGAUAAUGACAGGUUAGGAUAGGACAUGAUGGGACAAUGGAAGGAUAGGACAGGGUAGGAAGGACAGGACAGGACAAAGACAGGACAGAAUAGGAUAAUGACAGGUUAGGAUAGGACAUGAUGGGACAAUGGAAGGAUAGGACAGGGUAGGAAGGACAGGACAGGACAAAGACAGGACAGAAUAGGAUAAUGACAGGUUAGGAUAGGACAUGAUGGGACAAGGGUAGGAUGGGACAGGGCAGGAUAGGACAGGGCUGGAUAGGACAGGGCAGGAUAGGCCAGGACAAGGACAGGUUUUG
rnacentral:lncRNA from 1 species